GUAAACUUUAAGUUUAAAUUUGAAUAGAGUCAACAAAACAAUCAUAAUUUAACCGGAAAUAAAUUGGACAAAAAUUUAUCUAAAUCAUUUAUCCCAUAAACUAUUCAGAUUGUCGACUAACAAUUUAAAAAAAAAUGAAGAGAUCUUAUUCGUCAAUGAAAGAACAUAAGGUUAUUUUCGAAUGGAAAAUAGAUCAAUUUAAUUCAUUCAUCGAUUCAUCACUCACGUGUACAGAUGACGUAAAAGUUGAUUCUGUUAAAUUUUCAACAGGUGCUAAAAUAAAUGAUUUCUGGUACUUGAGACUAAAAUUUAAAGAUAAUGAAGUUACGCAAGUCAAAGAAUGGCUGUCAGCAUUUUUGUGUUUAAAGCACAGCGAUACAGAAUCAGUAAGAGCAAUAUAUUCUAUACAUAUUUUGGAUAAGAAUAAUGAAAAAAAAGUAAGUAUUAAAAAAACAACUCGAGUAUUCAAACUUCAUGAGAGUUGGGGUUCUAAUAAAUUUCUGGAAAUAAAAAAGUUAGUGGAAAAUAAAGUCAAUUUAGUAGCAAAUGAUAUGAUGUCAUUAUGUGUGGAUCUCGUUGUACUUGAAGAUUAUACAUCAACUACAACGGAAGUUCCAUUAAAAAUUUUGAAGCCUAAAAUAACUGAUGAUUUUGAGAAGUUCUUUGAUAAAAAAAUAAAUGUCGAUGUAAUUUCAAUUGUUGGCGACGUAAAGUUUCAUGCGCAUAAGACAAUUUUAUCAGCACGACCCUGUUUAAAAAUAUUGAUUGAAAAAAAUUAAAAGUGAUGAAAUUCGAGUUCUUUUCAAUAAUUCCAAUUGAUUUAAAUUUUUUUGUUUGUAUAUAUAGAUAUACAGUUUGCAUGGAGCGACCGCUUCUCAAUCGUUUUCAAUCAAUAUUUUUAAUCAGGGGAAGUUCAGUACUUGCUUCAGUUUUCCACAGAAUGCAAGAAAGUAACAAUAAUAUAUUGAUGAUAAGUGAUGUAGCUCCUGAAAUAUUCCGAGAUAUGUUGAGAUUUAUUUACACUGAUAAAGUUAAUGAUUUGGACAGCAAAGCUGUAUCUCUAUUACAAGUUGCUGAUAGAUUUAAAUUACAAACACUGAAGAUAUCGUGUGAGGAAUUGCUUCGCGAAUCAUUGACCAAUGAAAAUGCAAUUAAAUUAUUAAUGUUAGCAGAUCAAUGUCAUGCAAAUCUACUGAUGGAGUACGUUGUCAAUUACAUCGUAAUAAAUAUCGAUAGUGUGAUGAAAAAUGGAGAUUACAAAACAUUAGAAAAUUCUAAACCGAUCUUAUUAUCGCUUUUACUUAAAAAAUUUUCCGAAUUAAUUAAAAAUAGAGGCUAAAACAUCUGAUGUACUAAAGCUCAACCGUACUCAAGUCAAUAGAAUUGAAAGUAAAAUUAAAUUUUGUUUUCUUUUUUUUUAACUAAUCUAGGAUUAUUUAAAUUUUUCUAGUAAUUUAUCAUGCAAUGAAAUGAAAUUUCGAGAUGAUUCUCAGACAAUACUCCUCACUUUUUAAAUAUAUUUAAUAACGAACUGUCAUGAAUAAAUUAAAUAAUUUAAAAAAAUUGAAGCGUUGAUUGAAAAAACGACGUUUUUUUCAAGAUAUUGAUUGCAAAUAAAUUACUUUAAUUUGGUAUC